UUUGAAUGAUGGGGGGGUACUACAGUUGGCACUCCCCUUCUAUUUUGCAGGUACCCUGUGAUGAGCAGCCUUGUGACCAGACUUGCGGACAAUUCAGGAGACAGUAAUAAUAAAUUCCGACACCGGAGACUUUGUACUGGUGCUCGGCGGUGUUUGCAGAGCCUACGAUGCAGCGUGGACAUUGUAGGUGACAGUUGGAGACGAACGCAGCAGCUGGAACCUCCAAUAUGGCUGUGCCCAGGGAACAUCCUGUUUAGGUCCGGUCAGAAAAAUCUUCCCCUGUGCAACAUAGGGAGGCUCUUUGGUUCCUCCUCACUGGAUUGAAGAGGCAUCAGCGCUGGGGGCAAAGCUGCGACCGCUCACGCACGUGGCAGACACUGGACUAGAUUAACUCUUACAGUUCAGAAAACUGAAAACAAUGAAGAGUUCACAGUUUAGCUGUGUACAAGGAAUCUGCUUUCAAAGAGUUCUGCAGGAUUAGAAAAACAUGGCUGCUCCCUUCUAGAAACAGCACCACACCUGUCCAUGGUCCACGGGUGGGUUCAGUCACAAGCACCAUCCUGCUUGCCACAUUAAUGCAGAUAAGGAAGAACGCUCACGAUUUGAACAUUACCAAACAGCUGCCAGACCUUUAUCUAUAAGAUUGAUAUGUUACCUGUCCAAAAAUUGGAACGCUUAAAACAUAAAAUAAAUGUGUUCUUG